rnacentral:lncRNA from 1 species
AUUGUCCCUGCACUCAGCCCCUCCCAAGCUUACUUAUGGCACCCAUCAUGUCUCUAACUAAUGAUUAAUAAUAGUUAAAGCUCAGAAACCAAGCCUAUCACCAGGAAGUGGAAUCGGGGAUCUGUGGACGUAACUCUGGAUUUGUAAGAACCUAAAGAAAUUAUGUCUGUGGAGACCAAAUUUAGCUGAUAAUUGUUCAAACGUAGUAAAUGUAUUGUUAAUACAGAGCCCUGUAAAUCUUUUAAUACCGGGACUAGACCGUGUUGAGAAAGCACCCUCAACCAUAGAUGGGAAGAAACUGGGAUUGAGGCUACCGGAGCGAAAGAAGAGGUUGUCUGAAACCCAAAGUGGCGUCUAAAUUGAUUCCGUUGUUGUUUUGAUACAUAUAUUUUUGGUGAAGGAAGAGUGAGAGAGGGAAGACGAUGAUGCCGUUAUAGAUGAGGUCCCUUUACAUCUCUAGACAAAUUUGGGGUGGGAAUAUCUCUCUGCUCUGCAACCAGUACUGAAUGAUCCUAAGAUGGCCGAGCGGGGUAGGUGUGGAGCCAGAGACAGCGGUGGUGUCAAACUGUAGACCCCAGUUCCUACAUUUGAACAUAAAAAUGUAUUUUAUCAAACAAAACUAUGCUACAUUUUAUCUCUGGGACCCUCAGGAUGACAAACCAGAGCAAGAUAACUGAAUGAGGACCAAACUGAAGCAGAGUGUCACAGGCG